rnacentral:rRNA from 1 species
AUUGAACGCUGGCGGCAGGCCUAACACAUGCAAGUCGAGCGAGUGGCGGACGGGUGAGUAAUGUCUGGGAAACUGCCUGAUGGAGGGGGAUAACUACUGGAAACGGUAGCUAAUACCGCAUACCAUCAGAUGUGCCCAUAUGGGAUGAGCUAGUAGGUGGGGUAAUGGCUCACCUAGGCGACGAUCCCUAGCUGGUUUGAGAGGAUGACCAGCCACAAGGGGACUGAGACACGGCCCAGACGCCUACGGGAGGCAGCAGUGGGGAAUAUUGCACAAUGGGCGAAAGCCUGAUACAGCCAGGCCGCGUGUAUGAAGAAGGCCUUCGGGUUGUAAAGUACUUUCAGCGGGGAGGCGUUACCCGCAGAAGAAGCACCGGCUAACUCCGGGCCAGCCGCCGCGGUAAUAC